rnacentral:misc_RNA from 1 species
GAUGAAGAACGUAGCGAAAUGCGAUAAGUAGUGUGAAUUGCAGAAUUCAGUGAAUCAUCGAAUCUUUGAACGCACAUUGCGCCCCAUGGUAUUCCGUGGGGCAUGCCUGUUCGAGCGUCAUUUACCCCCUCAAGCUCCGCUUGGUGUUGGGCGUCUGUCCCGCUUCGCGCGCGGACUAGCCCCAAAGGUAUUGGCAGCGGUCGUGCCAGCUUCUCGCGCAGCACAUUGCGCUUCUCGAGGCACCGGUGGGCCCGCGUCCAUCAAGCUCACCCCCCCAGUUUGACCUCGGAUCAGGUAGGGAUACCCGCUGAACUUAAGCAUAUCAAUAAGCGGAGGA